GAAAUGCGAUAAGUAAUGUGAAUUGCAGAAUUCAGUGAAUCAUCGAAUCUUUGAACGCACCUUGCACCCUUUGGUAUUCCGAAGGGUAUGCCUGUUUGAGUGUCAUGAAUACCUCAACCCCUUAGUAGUUUUAUUACAAACGGGUGUUGGUCUUGAGCGCCUUGCCGGUUUUUACAAUCGGCUCGCUUUAAAUUCAUUAGCUUUUGGUACCACUUUGACCUGGUUCUACUCGGCGUAAUAAUUUAUUAUCGUCGAGGAUAGUAAUUUUCGGAUUACUAGCCACAGUAAGAGUUGCGGACUGCUUCUAAUAUUAAUUGUCUUUUGGCAAUUUACUUUUUACUCUUUUGACCUCAAAUCAGGUAGGAUUACCCGCUGAACUUAA
rnacentral:misc_RNA from 1 species